GCUGGGAGUGGUGAGCUUGCCGUUGUGCAUGAGUGGCGUGAGGAUGGCCUCUGGCUUCGGGUCUUUGGAUUGGGUGUCCCCAAAGAGGCCGCUGAGCUUGGUGACGCUGCUCAUGGAGCCCCGGCGCGAGUGGGUGAGCUCCUUCUCUUUUCGCUGCACCACGGCCACGUCUUUGCGCCGGUGAUCGCAGACGCAGUAGACGAUGAUGCCCGAGAAGACGGCCCCCAUGACGAAAGCCAGGAUGACUGCAAUGGCCAAGAGGGUGACCGGAACCAGCUGGUCGUGGCCUUUGAGGGUCCUCCUCUCUUCAAUUGUGACAUCACAGUUGGUUGCUGUGGAAAUGAUUGUCUUGUGACAAAGGAUUGUGACUUCAGGUGGGAAUAAGUAGAAGCAGCAAAUAUCUCUUGAGAAAUAAAAAUUCUGUGAUCCAACCAAUACCCUCAGUAAUAAAAGGCAGUCGAGGCCAUUCACCAUAAGGAAAGAGUAUGCAAGAUGUUUCCUCAAGACCUGAAAAUGAGUGAGCAUCAUCCUUUAAAGUGUUAAUAUGGAGGAGUUAAUAAGUACCUUUCCUUCUGUAAAGGAAAUAAGAGAGGACAUAGCUUAGGGAGUGAUUUUUAUAACCCAUAGCUUAAUUAUUCUAUCUAUUUGAGAAACUACCUGGGAGUCAAAAUUGGUCUUAGUAUGACUGAUGAAUGCUGGGCAGGUUGCUGGUUCAAUUCAUUUCAAGAUCUUAAUUUCUCAGUAUCUGAUAAAGACUAUUCAAUUAUAGAUAAUGAUUGCAAAGUAUCAUAUUGGAAAAGAGCAGAUGCUAAGCGUGGUUUUUCUUUGAAGGCAGUCUAAACUAGAUGACAUUUGCCUUCUGAGCAAUUUUUCUUCUAGUCUUUAGUGUUCAAUAUUCUGGCUUAAAUCAUACACGAGGGAACAUUGGUGGAUGAAUUCUGUGGACUCAUGUACUCUACAC